rnacentral:rRNA from 1 species
GACGAACGCUGGCGGCGUGCUUAACACAUGCAAGUCGAACGGAAAGGCCCUGCUUUUGUGGGGUGCUCGAGUGGCGAACGGGUGAGUAACACGUGAGUAACCUGCCCUUGACUUUGGGAUAACUUCAGGAAACUGGGGCUAAUACCGGAUAGGAGCUCCUGCUGCAUGGUGGGGGUUGGAAAGUUUCGGCGGUUGGGGAUGGAUUCGCGGCUUAUCAGCUGGUUGGUGGGGUAGUGGCUUACCAAGGCUUUGACGGGUAGCCGGCCUGAGAGGGUGACCGGCCACAUUGGGACUGAGAUACGGCGCAGACGCCUACGGGAGGCAGUAGUGGGGAAUAUUGCACAAUGGGCGGAAGCCUGAUGCAGCAACGCCGCGUGCGGGAUGACGGCCUUCGGGUGGUAAACCGCUUUCGCCUGUGACGAAGCGUGAGUGACGGUAAUGGGUAAAGAAGCACCGGCUAACUACGUG